rnacentral:rRNA from 1 species
AUUGAACGCUGGCGGCAGGCCUAACACAUGCAAGUCGAGCGGAUGAAGGGAGCUUGCUCCUGGAUUCAGCGGCGGACGGGUGAGUAAUGCCUAGGAAUCUGCCUGGUCGUGGGGGAUAACGUCCGGAAACGGGCGCUAAUACCGCAUACGUCCUGAGGGAGAAAGUGGGGGAUCUUCGGACCUCACGCUAUCAGAUGAGCCUAGGUCGGAUUAGCUAGUUGGUGGGGUAAAGGCCUACCAAGGCGACGAUCCGUAACUGGUAUGAGAGGAGGAUCAGUAACACGGGACAUGAGAAACGGUCCAGCUCCCUACGGGAGGCAGCAGUGGGGAAUAUUGGCAAAUGGGCGAAAGCCUGAUCCAGCCAUGCCGCGGGGGUGAAGAAGGUCUUCGGAUUGUAAAGCACUUUAAGUUGGGAGGAAGGGCAGUAAGUUAAUACCUUGCUGUUUUGACGUUACCAACAGAAUAAGCACCGGCUAACUUCGU